AUUGAACGCUGGCGGCAUGCCUUACACAUGCAAGUCGAACGGCAGCAUGGAGAGCUUGCUCUCUGAUGGCGAGUGGCGAACGGGUGAGUAAAGCAUCGGAACGUACCGUGUAGUGGGGGAUAACGUAGCGAAAGUUACGCUAAUACCGCAUCAGCCCUGAGGUGGAAAGCAGGGGAUCGUAAGACCUUGGGCUAUACGAGCGGCCGAUGGCAGAUUAGCUAGUUGGUAGGGUAAGGGCCUACCAAGGCGACGUUCUGUAGCGGGUCUGAGAGGAUGAUCCGCCACACUGGGACUGAGGCACGGCCCAGACUCCUACGGGAGGCAGCAGUGGGGAAUUUUGGACAAUGGGGGCAACCCUGAUCCAGCCAUGCCGCGUGAGUGAAGAAGGCCUUCGGGUUGUAAAGCUCUUUCGGCCGGGAAGAAAUCGCACAGGCUAAUACCCUGUGUGGAUGACGGUAUCGGCAUAAGAAGCACCGGCUAACUACGUGCCAGCCGCCGCCGUAA
rnacentral:rRNA from 1 species